GCCCCUGUGGCGGAAUUGGUAGACGCGCCGCACUCAAAAUGCGGUAUCCGCGAGGAUGUGUGGGUUCGAUUCCCACCGGGGGCACCG
rnacentral:tRNA from 1 species